GGGCCCGCACAAGCGGAGGAGCAUGUGGUUUAAUUCGAUGAUACGCGAGGAACCUUACCAAGGCUUAAAUGUAAUAUGACCGGUUGAGAGAUCAACCUUUUUUCGAACAGAUUACAAGGUGCUGCAUGGUUGUCGUCAGCUCGUGCCGUGAGGUGUCGGGUUAAGUCCCAUAACGAGCGCAACCCCUAUUUUUAGUUACCAGCGAGUAAUGUCGGGAACUCUAGAAAACUGCCUGUGCAAACAGAGAGGAAGGUGGGGAUGACGUCAAAUCAUCACGGCCCUUACGGGUUGGGCUACACACGUGCUACAAUGGUAGUGACAAUGGGUUAAUCCCAAAAGCUAUCUCAGUUCGGAUUGUCGUCUGCAACUCGACGGCAUGAAGUCGGAAUCGCUAGUAAUCGCG
rnacentral:rRNA from 1 species